GACGAACGCUGGCGGCGUGGAUUAGGCAUGCAAGUCGAACGGUAUCAUCCUUUCGGGGGUGAGAGAGUGGCGAACUGGUGAGUAACACGUAGGUUAUCUACCCUCAAGACGGGGACAACCCAGGGAAACUUGGGCUAAUACCGGAUGUGAGCAACUUUUAGUUGUUUGAAAGGUGGCGUAAGCUGUCGCUUGGGGAUGAGCCUGCGUCCUAUUAGUUAGUUGGUGAGGUAACGGCUCACCUAGGCAAUGAUAGGUAGGCGGCCUUAACGGGUGGUCGCCCACACUGGGAUUGAGAUACGGCCCAGACUCCUACGGGAGGCAGCAGUCGAGAAUAGUCUACAAUGGUCGGAAGACUGAUAGUGCGACGCCGCGUGAACGAUGAAUCCCUUCGGGGUGUAAAGUUCUUUUAUAUGUGAGCAGUGCUUCUUAUAUUAACAGUAUGGGGAAGAGAUAUUAGCAUAUGAAUAAGCAAACGGCUAAACUCCGUGCCAGCAGCCGACGGUAAACUA
rnacentral:rRNA from 1 species